rnacentral:rRNA from 1 species
UAACCUGCCCAAGAGAUCGGGAUAACACCUGGAAACAGAUGCUAAUACCGGAUAAUAACAGAUGAUGCCUAUCAACUGUUUAAAAGAUGGUUCUGCUAUCACUCUUGGAUGGACCUGCGGUGCAUUAGCUAGUUGGUAGGGUAACGGCCUACCAAGGCGAUGAUGCAUAGCCGAGUUGAGAGACUGAUCGGCCACAUUGGGACUGAUCACGGGCCCAAACUCCUACGGGAGGCAGCAGGGG